GUCCCCUUAGUAAAACGGAUAUUACGAAUCCCUCCUAAGGAUUAAGUGCAGGUUCGAUUCCUGCAGGGGACA
rnacentral:tRNA from 15 species